UACGUAGGGGGCAAGCGUUGUCCGGAAUUAUUGGGCGUAAAGAGCGCGUAGGCGGUCCGAUAAGUCGGCUGUGAAAGUCUAGGGCUCAACCCUGGAAAGCCGGCCGAUACUGUCGGACUAGAGUCCGGAAGAGGCGAGUGGAAUUCCCAGUGUAGAGGUGAAAUUCGUAGAUAUUGGGAAGAACACCGGUGGCGAAGGCGGCUCACUGGCUCAUUUCUGACGCUCAGGCGCGACAGCGUGGGGAUCAAACAGG
rnacentral:rRNA from 1 species